rnacentral:rRNA from 1 species
GGACGUCAUGGAGGGUGAGAAUCCCGUGUGGCGAGGGUGUUAGUUCUUUGUAAAGGGUGCCUCGAAAGAGUCGAGUUGUUUGGGAAUGCAGCUCUAAGUGGGUGGUAAAUUCCAUCUAAAGCUAAAUACAGGCGAGAGACCGAUAGCGAACAAGUACAGUGAUGGAAAGAUGAAAAGAACUUUGAAAAGAGAGUGAAAAAGUACGUGAAAUUGUUGAAAGGGAAGGGCAUUUGAUCAGACAUGGUGUUUUGCGCCCCUCGCUCCUUGUGGGUGGGGGACUCUCGCAGCUCACUGGGCCAGCAUCAGUUUUUGCGGCAGGACAAAACCUUGGGAAUGUAGCUGUGCGCCUCGGUGUACAGUGUUAUAGCUCUUGGGAAUACUGCCAGCGGGGACUGAGGACUGCGAUACUUUUUUAUCUAGGAUGCUGGCAUAAUGGUUAUAUGCCGCCCGUCUAAAAAA